rnacentral:rRNA from 1 species
AGUUUGAUUAUGGCUCAGAUUGAACGCUGGCGAAAUUAACUGCAUGCAAGUCGAACGGCAGCACGGACUUCGGUCUGGUGGCGAGUGGCAGACGCAGAUGAAGUAAUGUAUCCAGGACAGUACCACAGCAUGGGGGAUAACUCACGCGAAAGCGUAGCUAAUACCGCAUGCGCCCUUCAAGGAAAGCAGAGACCUUCGGGCCUCGCACCUAUUAAAUAACGCCGAUAUCAGUUAACCGGAUCAGCAGGUGGGGUAACAGCGCAAAAGCGACAUAUCUCGAUCUAAAGUAGCUGGUUUGAGAGGACAACCAACCACUCUGGGACUGAGACACAGCAGACUCUACGAGGCAGCCAGUCGGGAAUUUUGGACAAUGAGCGCCUCCUGAUCAACCAUCCCGCGCGUGUGCGAUGAAGGCCUUCGAGGUUGUAAAGCACUUUUGGCGGAAAAAGAAAAGCAGCGCAGGAUAAGCUGCAACUGACAGUACCUGCAGAAUAAGCACCAGCUAACUACGUGCCAGCAGCCGCGGUAAUACGUAGGGUGCAAGCGUUAAUGGAAUUACUGGGCAUAAAGCGUGCGCAGGCGGUUCCCGAGAAGAAAGAUGUGAAAUCCCAGAGCUUAACUUUGGAACUGCAUUUAACUACCGAAAUGAAGUGUCAGAGGGAAGUGGAAUUCCGCGUGUAGCAGUGAAGUAAAUGGAAAUAUGCGAAGGAACACGAUAAUAAAGAGCGACUAUCUAUAAAGAUAACACUGACGCUCAUGCCGAAAGCGUGGGAGCAAACGGGAUUAGAUACCCUGGUAGUCCACCAUCCAAACGAUGUCAACUAGCUGUUGGGGCCUUCAGACGCCCGGUAGCGCAGCCCAACGCGUAGAGAUUGACCGCCUGGGAAGUACGGUCGCAAGAUUAAAGCUCAAAAGGAAUUGACGGGGACCCGCUACAGCGGUGGAUGAUGGAUUAAUUCGAUGCAACGAAAAACCUUACCUACCCUUGACAUGUCUGGAAUCCCGAAAGAGAUCUGGGAGUGUCGCAAGAGGAGCAAGACACAGGUGCUACAUAGCUGUCGUCAGCUCGUGUCGUGAGAUGUUGGGUUGGUCCACAUAGUGGCGCAACAUCAUGUCAUUGGAUUCGCUUACCAAAGGGCAUCUAAUGGAGCUAUAAGUCAGCAAAUCCAGAGGAAGGUGGGGAUGACGUCAAUCGCAGCUCAUAGGUAGGGCUUCACACGUCAUGCAAUGGUCAGGCCAGAGGGUCGCCAACCGCGAGGCGUAAUCCAGAAACCCGAUCGUAGUCCGGAUCGCAGUCUGUAGCAUGUUCGUCAGAGUGGAAUCGCUAGUAAUCAUGAAUCAGCAUGUCGCCGGUGAAUACGUUCCAGGUCUUGUACACCGCCCGUCACACCGUAGGGUGGGUUUUUACCAGAAGUAGUUAGCCUAACCGUAAGGAGGCGAUUACCACGGUAGGAUUCAUGACUGGGGUGAAGUCGUAACAAGGUAG